AACCGUUUAGGGGUAAACCUGAGAAACCCGAAAGGUCGAAGGGAGAAAUUCAUUCGCGUUUCGCAGUCGGCGUGAGGCGAUCGAGUGACGGAAUGCAUCCUCGGAUGUUUUCUGCACCUUUCGUUUUUCGAUCCGAUAGCGAACGCGUGCACUUUUCUCCUGGUAGGACGUCGCGAUCCGUUGGGUGUCGGUCUACGGCUCACGGUGGAGCCCGGAUGUACGGCUUGCCGUCACGUCCGGACCCGUGUGUCCCGGCUGACUCGCUCGACGGUAUACGAAAGGUUUAAGGCCGCUCUCGCGAGCGUUCGGCUCGUCGCAAGCGCGUCAAAUGUGUCGGCGAUCGGACCUAGUGCCGGUUCUGACCUUUGGCGACUGUUGGCGGCGAAGUUCUCGAACAGUGCUUUAACCAAUCUGCGACGCUAUAGCUUUGGGUACUUUCAGGACCCGUCUUGA
rnacentral:rRNA from 1 species